rnacentral:lncRNA from 1 species
GGGAAGAGCAUCACAGAAGCUAUCAGUGGAGAGGCUGGGUCCUACUCUCACCUUCAUAGCAUCCCAGGGAAUCUAAAGUGUCAUUUCCUCUCUGGAAGAAAGGAAGCACAAAACAUGCUAGGACAAAAUUGGAGAAACUGAUUAUUUUACCCAGGCUUUGACUGGAAUGGCAUGAUUCCUUUAAAAAAUUCAAGCUUGACUUAUACAGCCAAUUAAGCCCUGUUGGGGAAUCUGGUCUCAUACCUUGUCCACACAGAGUCCUUGUACAAGUUUCCCGACCUGUGAAAGAAGAAAGAGCUUUAACAGACAUUUGAUAAUGAAUUGUUACUUCUUACUCAUGUUUAUAUAUAAACUCUUGACUGUCAAUGCUAUAAAAGACAAUUCAAAAGGAAGAAAUGCAGUUAUAUUGAAACACCAUUCAAAACAUCACAACAAGAAAUGCAGUCUACUAUAAACUGAGUAAAUAGAAAGAUAUACAGUAGUACUGAGGCUACUACCAGGAGAAGGCAAUAUUGGUACUGAACAAAAAAGAGUUUCUUCACACUGAAGUACAGCACAGUUGAGAAGCAUGAAAUAAAGACGUUUUCUAGACUCCAAUUCUAUCAUUUCCAUGAGGUGGGUACUAUCCAGAGUGACUACUAAUAUCACUACAUGAUACAUGAUUGGGACUUAGGUAAUGGUUCAUUGCAAACAGCAAUAACAGAGUAGCAGAUUCAGAUUCCAUUAUAAAGAAGGUUCGUUUCUAUUUGAAAAUUCAUUUUCCUUUUUGUUAGUUGGAACCAAAAUGGAGCUAAACAUAGACCAAAUAUGAUAUCCAUUGUAAUACAGGUUAUGCAUAGGGUUUUUUUCUUUUAUUUCAACAUCUCCAACACCAGCUCUUUGAAAAGACUUGUAUGAAUUCUAUAACCAAA